CCUACGGGUGGCAGCAGUGGGGAAUAUUGGACAAUGGGCGAAAGCCUGAUCCAGCCAUGCCGCGUGUGUGAAGAAGGCCUUCGGGUUGUAAAGCACUUUCAGUGGGGAAGAAAGCCUUGGGGCUAAUACCCUCGAGGAAGGACAUCACCCACAGAAGAAGCACCGGCUAACUCCGUGCCAGCAGCCGCGGUAAUACGGAGGGUGCGAGCGUUAAUCGGAAUUACUGGGCGUAAAGCGCGCGUAGGCGGUCUGAUAAGCCGGUUGUGAAAGCCCCGGGCUCAACCUGGGAACGGCAUCCGGAACUGUCAGGCUAGAGUGCAGGAGAGGAAGGUAGAAUUCCCGGUGUAGCGGUGAAAUGCGUAGAGAUCGGGAGGAAUACCAGUGGCGAAGGCGGCCUUCUGGACUGACACUGGCGCUGAGGUGCGAAAGCGUGGGUAGCAAACAGGAUUAGAUACCCUGGUAGUC
rnacentral:rRNA from 1 species